AUAAAUAAGUAUAAAUUACUGCUUUUCUGCCUCUGUAAUAUGAGGUAAGAACUCAGUGUUGCCAUUUUGAUAAAAUGACUGAUAUUUUUUUUCAAAUACACAUUAAUUAGACUUUAAUUCAUAGACUAUGAGUUAUAUUUUUUAGUCUAUUUUAAUUGCAUCAGAUAACUGAUACUUAGCUUCUUUCAGAAUUGUUACACAAGAACAUCUAUCUAAUAAGACUGGGCCAAUGUUGAAACACUUUUAGGUAAUUAUUCAGUUUUUUUUUGCCAUUUUUUCUGGUGCUGCAGGUUUUUGUUCAACCAGUCAAUGAAGAUGUAGCACUGUGAGAUUUAGACUACUGGGGUAAUGGAACCACAGUCACGGUUCUACCAGAUCCAAAUGCUGCCUCUGAUCCUCCGUCCCUGUUCGUCCUCAGUCCCCUGCAGACUCCCGGCUACACAGUGAAGCCAGCAAACCAGUCCAGUCCAAACGUCUGUCUGGUCACAAAUUUCCAUUCAAAGUGGGAAAGUGUGGUUCUGAAUUUGAAAAGGGGUCCGGUUGAUGUGAUCACGACUAAUGCUGUUGUGAAGAAUAACUCCUACUACUUUGCUGCAUUCAGCAACGAAGCCAUCUACUCCUGUGGGGUAAACGGGACCUUUGGCAACAAUGAAGCUGAUGAUGAAUGUGGCAGCAUUUAUCCAGAAAAAGCCAAGCUGAACUUCUACCUGCUGCUGAUGAACGGAGUCCGAGUGGUGUUCACCAAAGCUCUGGCCUUCAGCACCGUCCUCACCAUCAGAGGCCUGAUCUUCUGA